rnacentral:lncRNA from 1 species
UUAUUAAGUGAUGAAAACAGGGCUUGGAUGUAUCUGGAUUCAUAGUCUGCUGCUCCUCUAGCUGUCUGGACUUCACCCCAAAAGGGAAAAAUCUGCCUUUGCAACUGGAAAAAUAUAAGCCUGGCCAUUUGGAGCUCCUGCAGGAAGAGUUUGCAGACAGCUGCCACUGGAAACAUCUAUGGCUUUAUCUACUUCAAUGAACAGCUGAGUACAUUCAGACAUAGCAACACUUUCCAAAAGUUUGCAUCUAAGCCAAAGGAGAUUGGGACAAGA